rnacentral:misc_RNA from 1 species
GUAGGUGAACCUGCGGAAGGAUCAUUAAUGAAAAAUAGGACGUUCUUUUUAGAAGUCCGACCCUUCAUUUACUUUACACUGUGCACACACUUCUUUUUCACCCAUUUUUAAACACUAUAGUAUAAGAAUGUACCAGUCUCUUAAUUGAGCAUAAACAUAAAAUAAAACUUUCAGCAACGGAUCUCUUGGCUCUC